AUACUUACCUGGCAGGGGAGACACCAUGAUCAAUCAGGUGGUUUUCCCAGGGUAAUUGUCUCUGAUAUGUCCUCCAUAGGAGGUCUAUGUUGAGCAGAUUCUUUCUGGUAUUGGGUGGUGGAACUGGAGCGUGCUCCAUCCACUC
ensembl:snRNA U1 U1 spliceosomal RNA